GGUCCAAUAGUCUAGUUGGUUAGGACGUGGGUUUCUGAUCUCUCUCCCGUUAGUAAAAUACCUAGCGUGGAUAUCUGAACCUACCCGAAGCCUCAGUUCGAAUCUGGGUUGGACCU